UACACUCCUGCGGGAGGCAGCAGUGGGGAAUUUUGGACAAUGGGCGAAAGCCUGAUCCAGCAAUGCCGCGUGUGUGAAGAAGGCCUUCGGGUUGUAAAGCACUUUUGUCCGGAAAGAAAUCCUUGGCUCUAAUACAGUCGAGGGAUGACGGUACCGGAAGAAUAAGCACCGGCUAACUACGUGCCAGCAGCCGCGGUAAUACGUAGGGUGCGAGCGUUAAUCGGAAUUACUGGGCGUAAAGCGUGCGCAGGCGGUUUGCUAAGACCGAUGUGAAAUCCCCGGGCUCAACCUGGGAACUGCAUUGGUGACUGGCAGGCUAGAGUAUGGCAGAGGGGGGUAGAAUUCCACGUGUAGCAGUGAAAUGCGUAGAGAUGUGGAGGAAUACCGAUGGCGAAGGCAGCCCCCUGGGCCAAUACUGACGCUCAUGCACGAAAGCGUGGGGAGCAAACAGGAUUAGAAACCCCUGUAGUCCCAUGAU
rnacentral:rRNA from 1 species